rnacentral:rRNA from 1 species
UACGUAGGGUGCGAGCGUUAAUCGGAAUUACUGGGCGUAAAGCGUGCGCAGGCGGUUUUGUAAGCCAGAUGUGAAAUCCCCGGGCUUAACCUGGGAAUGGCAUUUGGGACUGCAAGGCUUGAGUGCGGCAGAGGAGACUGGAAUUCCCGGUGUAGCAGUGAAAUGCGUAGAUAUCGGGAGGAAUACCAAUGGCGAAGGCAGGUCUCUGGGCUGACACUGACGCUCAUGCACGAAAGCGUGGGGAGCAAACAGG